UUAUAUUCAUCGUCUAAAGAUCAUCCCACACACAUUAUCCUACAUCCCUUUUAAGAACGUCUGCAACCAUUACCUAUAGAUGAAGCCACAAGAACUCUAUAGAUCUUGAGAUUUCUGACUUUCAAAGUUUGCCCUUUUGAACUUUACCGCCAAGAGGAAGAACAAAAUACUAGUAGGGAGCUCAACUAUUUUACACCUUUUAAAGAAAAGAUGCCCCAUAUAUAUGCAUAUACAAACACACGCGCACACACACACACCUCUCUCUCUCUCUCUUUAUAUAUAUAUCGCAAUCUUUUCAUCAAAACAGUAUCUCCUCACCUCGCUUAAAGCUUCCAUUACAAACAAGAAGACUGAUGGAGAUAAAUGAUCUCCUUGUCUGCUGCUCCUGCUCGUUUUUGAAGGACAUACAUAUAUAAUAAUAAAUUUACUGGCACUUGUUACCGUUCCAUUACAAACAAGAAGACCGAUGGAGAUAAAUGAUCUCCUUGUCUGCUGCUCCUGCUCGUUUUUGAAGGACAUACAUAUAUAAUAAUAAAUUUACUGGCA
rnacentral:lncRNA from 1 species